UACGUAGGGGGCUAGCGUUGUCCGGAAUCAUUGGGCGUAAAGCGCGUGUAGGCGGCCCGGUAAGUCCGCUGUGAAAGUCGGGGGCUCAACCCUCGGAUGCCGGUGGAUACUGUCGGGCUCGAGUACGGAAGAGGCGAGUGGAAUUCCUGGUGUAGCGGUGAAAUGCGUAGAUAUCCGGAGGAACACCGGUGGCGAAGGCAGCGUACUAGGCUGUAACUGACGCUGAGGCACGAAAGUGUGGGGAGCAAACAGG
rnacentral:rRNA from 1 species